rnacentral:lncRNA from 1 species
GCAAUGCAGCCAUACUAGAUACUUUAGUGUUCGAUGACUGCGAUACCGGACAGAAACAGUUUACAGGAUUAAACCAUUUUUAUCAGUUUGCAGUUUCAGAGUUCAGUCCAUCAUAGAGAAUUCAUGACUACUCAGUUCAGGGCAGCAGGAGAGUGUGGCGGAGGCUGUUUACAUUACGGUUGACCAUGAAGCCAGAACACAGAAGAACAAAAUUCAAACUGGAAACACAUUUCACUCUCCUGACACAGAAGGCCGCCCACCAGGAAACAGGGCCAUUUGCUGACUUGAUCAAGAUGUGAACUCUUAGCUGUUCCUGCAACCAUGCCUUCACUUCACCAUCAUAGACCUAAUCCUCUGAAACCAUAAACCUAAUUAAACAAUUAAAUGCUUUCC